GACGAACGCUGGCGGCGUGCUUAACACAUGCAAGUCGAACGGAAAGGCCCUGCUUUUGUGGGGUGCUCGAGUGGCGAACGGGUGAGUAACACGUGAGUAACCUGCCCUUGACUUUGGGAUAACUUCAGGAAACUGGGGCUAAUACCGGAUAGGAGCUCCUGCUGCAUGGUGGGGGUUGGAAAGUUUCGGCGGUUGGGGAUGGACUCGCGGCUUAUCAGCUUGUUGGUGGGGUAGUGGCUUACCAAGGCUUUGACGGGUAGCCGGCCUGAGAGGGUGACCGGCCACAUUGGGACUGCGAUACGGCCCAGACUCCUACGGGAGGCAGCAGUGGGGAAUAUUGCACAAUGGGCGGAAGCCUGAGGCAGCAACGCCGCGUGCGGGAUGACGGCCUUCGGGUUGUAAACCGCUUUCGCCUGUGACGAAGCGGGAGUGACGGUAAUGGGUAAAGAAGCACCGGCUAACUACGUG
rnacentral:rRNA from 1 species